rnacentral:rRNA from 1 species
UGGGGAAUAUUGCGCAAUGGGCGAAAGCCUGACCCAGCAACGCCGCGUGAAGGAUGAAGUAUUUCGGUAUGUAAACUUCGAAAGAAUAGGAAGAAUAAAUGACGGUACUAUUUAUAAGGUCCGGCUAACUACGUGCCAGCAGCCGCGGUAAUACGUAGGGACCAAGCGUUGUUCGGAUUUACUGGGCGUAAAGGGCGUGCAGGCGGUUGCGUAAGUUAGGCGUGAAAGACUUCGGCUAAACCGGGGGAGGUCGUCUGAUACUGCGCAACUAGAGUAUGGUAGAGGGAAGUGGAAUUUCCGGUGUAGCGGUGAAAUGCGUAGAUAUCGGAAGGAACACCAGUGGCGAAGGCGGCUUCCUGGACCAAUACUGACACUGAGGGGCGAAAGCGUGGGUAGCAAACAGGAUUAGAUACCCUCGUAGUCCCUGAGCGGGCUGGCAAGGCGCAU